AGGGAUCAUUGAUGAAAAACAAAUCGGUCGAUGUGCUGGCGAAUCAAAGCAAGUGCACUCGAUCGAAAUCCAACCCACACCUGUGCACCUUUGAGACCCGACCCUCGCUUGGGGGAACGGUCCCAUUUUUACACGCUUGUCCACGAAUGUGUAUUUUGCUUUUGCAAUCUUGUACAACUUUCAACGACGGAUCUCUUGGCUCUC
rnacentral:misc_RNA from 1 species